CUAAAGCGGCACCCCAAUUCGUCUCGUAGUCUACCUUGUGGACAUUCAUUGACGGUUGCCACCUUAUUGAACGUGAACCAAUUUGUAUAAUACAGAAAGCAGUUGAAGCCGCCUACAUUGGAUUAAUAUUCGACUAGUUAUCGUCAUCCACACGGUGCACCAACUUGUAUACAGAUCACUGACAAUCCAGAAAGAGGUAACAUCGCGUGUAGGCCUACCUUAUAUCCAACUGAUAGGCUUCAUCAGAGUGCUCAGAAACGUCAACUACAAUCAUGCGAUGGUGGAGCUUCAUCGUAGUAUUAUUCAGCGGGUUGAUAGCUUUGUAUGUUGCACCACACGACGUACUGACACUGAGGUGCCAUGAUGCAAACAGAAGAUCAGAGUAUAAAACAAAUAUUAUAGAAUGCAUAGAAAUAUUAUCAUUUUUUUUUUCUGUUGUUGUUAACGCUUUUUACGACAAAAGGUCAUUGGUAUUCGGUGUUUCGGGUUUCAUUUCUUCUGUCGUGGCUACUGGUUAUCCGUGUCCCGAAGCUUGUGACGCCAUUACAUGGACGUUCCUUGGUUGCCUCCAACUUAUACUUACCUGUUCUUCGGUUGUACAUGCUAUUUUCGAGAUAGUCUGGUACGCUAAUAUGGAAAAGGUUAAGGCGUAAUUAUUUGAUUAUGCUCCCUUUAUUGUUGCAGAAACAUUGAAUGUCCACUUUUAAAGGGUCUGUGUUAAAUAUGUUUAGUAAUUACUCUGUAAAUUAAUGGCAAGUGACGUACGUGGUUAGAUAUACAGCAGCUUUGGAUAGUACAAAGCAUGUUAGAGAAACUGUUAACUUCGAAGUACUGCGGUUAUGGAAAAAUGUAUAAUUCCCCUCCCCCCCAAAAAAAAUAAAAAUAAAUAAAUAAAUAAAUAAAUAAAUCUUAAAUCAAGGAGUGUUACCGCGGCAAAACGCUUCACAGAUUCUUUAUUCCUAUUAGGGAUUAUUCGUCAUUCUUGGACAUAAUAUUCAAUCCGGAGUUUCGGCGAUAUCACAAAAAAUACGACCACGUUUUGAAAUGAAAUUUUUAUGUUUUAGUUUUAAUUUUAUUGUUUCUUAGGAUUAGAAGAUUCAAACGUUACGGUUAAAAACAAACAAAGGUAUUUUCCUUUUCCUUUAAAGGAACGUUACAGAAUUGGUAAGAAACAAAAAUCGUGAA